UUGGUUUUCUUCCUUCUUUUUUAACUGAAUUGUUUUUAUUAAAAAUCUUAUUUGAAUAUGUAGAAAAAGUGGGGAUGUCCUGUAAUAUAUCGUAGCUUUUCUUGUUUACAGGGUGCUCAGAAAACAUGCGUCCCUUAGAGUCCCACAGAAACGUUCUCAGUGCGAUCUCUAUCAAGUGCUAUGAGUCUUGAUAAAAUGGAGAAGAGCCCAAGAGAAAUUUUUCAUCCCUUGAUAUAAAAGGAUUUAUUGGUUCUGGAAGAACAAGAGGGAAGUACAAGCCUAACUACUUCUAGCUCACAGACCCGUCCAGUGAACCCAGCUUUGUGUUUUGGUGGGCUUGUGAUGACUUUGAAAUCAAUUUCUCAUUCCAGUAAAAAAAAUUCAUGUUUUUUUGAACGUGACAGCAGAAAUAACUUUAGGCACCAACUUAAUAAUAAUAGAUCACCAGUUUAAGUUAAAAAUUCAUGCUAUACUAUCAAAAUUUAAAGGUAAAUUAUUAUGUAUUAGGUGAUGGCAUAAAGUGUAUGUUCUAAUGUGUAAUGCAAAGAUACAUACAUACCUGAAAGUCCUUAGAGGAAACAAAUUUUUA